AGGAGAAGGAGGUUUGGGUCCCCAGUUCCAUGGAGGCUGGGCAUGGGGCCCUGGGCAGCUGGAGGUUUGCCUGUUGCUUAUACUCUACUCCCCAACCCUCCUAUACCUCCUCCCUGCCCCCUGACCAAUGCCCAAGGGAGCUUCAUGUGCUUGACUGCAGAUGGGUGAGCCCAGCAAAGGAAGUACCACCAUCAUCAUCCUCAUCUUAUAUUGCUCUUGCCUCUGCUUCAAAUUUUUCCCCAGGGAGGAAGAAAGAAGUCGGCCUGAGUGAUGGAUACAUUUGGAAAACGUGAGCAGUGUACCAGCUGUGGACCUCUCCCCUCCAGGAAGGGCUAAGUUGAUGGGGAAAGUUGUAUAUCUUGGAUAUUACACCCAAUUUGAUCGAGACAUUUUCCCAAUCAACAACUUCCCUUCUUAUCCUGGUUAUAUUAGUGCUGUUUAUGCAGAAGCUUUUCACUUAAAAGAAAAACAAAGUCAGGACAACUAUAACAUUCAGAAGAAAAAUACUUGUGGAUGAAGAUACCAUCUCUGAGAACAUUCCACUUACUACAGGCUUGCUUUCUGGGGAAGCACAUCUAGUCUCCGAACACUCAGAGGAAAAGAUACUUGUGCCUGAAAACACUGUUUCUGAAAACAUUCCUGUUACUACACAAUUGCUUUCUGGGGAAAUGCAUCGAGUCUCCAAACACUCAGAGGAAAAGAUACUUGUUGCAGGAGACACUGUCUCUGAGAACUUAACAGUUACUACAAAAUUACUUUCAGGGGAAUCACAUCUAGUCUUAAAACAUUCACCAGACGAGACAUUUGGGGUUGAAGACACUGUUUCUGAGAACAUUCCACUUACUAUAGGCUUGCUUUCUGGGGAAGCACAUCUAGUCUCUGAACACUGAGGAAAAAAUACUUGUGACAGGAGACACUGUCUCUGAGAACUUAACAGUUACUACAAAAUUACUUUCAGGGAAAUCGCAUCUAGUCUUAAAACAUUCACUAGACGAGACAUCUGGGGCUGGAGACACAGUCUCUGAGAACAUGCCGGUAACUAUAAAAUUGCUUUCUGCUGACACACAUCUAGUAUUAAAACAUUAUGAAGACAACACAUCCGGGGGCUGGAGACACUGUCUCUGAAAACAAACCGGUGACCACAGGCUUACUCCCAAUGGAGUAUAGUCCUUCAAGACAAAACGCAAUCUUUAUUGAAAUCGAAGACUUUCAAACAUUCCUGAUGAAAAGACCCGAGCUGAACAGAAAAUCACCUACAAGACUCAAGAGGACCCAAAAAAGGUAAACAUGAAAUAGAAAUCAUGAUGGACUCAAGAAGGUUAACUUGUGUAGAUUUCUAUAGGGGAAGAUGAUUUAUGCAUCUUCUCAAAAUUUUAUCAUUAUUAGGAAGUUACAAUGACUCUACAGAGACGAAGGGUCUGGGAUUGAGUGAUUAGGUUGAGAAGAUUAAAAAAGGAUAAGUGAGGGGCAGCUGGGUGGCACAGUGGAUAGAGCACCAGCCCUGGAGUCAGGAGUACCUGAGUUCAAAUCCAGCCUCAGACACUUAACAUUUACUAGCUGUGUGACUCUGGGCAAGGCACUUAACCCCAAUAGCCUCACUUAAAAAAAAAUGGAUAGGUGAGAAAGAGGGAUACAGUGGGAGAAGGGGAAAGAAAAAGACUGGGGGUUGGAAUUGUCUCACAUAAAAGAGGUGCCCCAGGAAGAACUUUAACAAUGGAAGGAAAAAGGGAGGGUGGGUUGGGCAACAUUUGAACCUCACUCACAUCUAAAGUGUUUCAGAAAGGAAAAAUAUAUUUGCAUACUCAAUUGGCAAUACAAGUUUAUCUUACCAACUAGGGAAGUAGGAUAAUAAAGGGGGUAAGAGAAAGGGGAGGGGGGGCGGCUAGGUGGCGCAGUGGAUAAAGCACCGGCUCCGGAUUCAGGAGUACCUGAGUUCAAAUCCAGCCUCAGACACUUGACACUUACUAACUGUGUGACCCUAGGCAAGUCACUUAACCCCCAUUGCCCCGCAAAAAAAAAAAAGAGAGAGAGAAAGGGGAGGCAGAACUGGGGGGCAGAUAAGAAAUGGCAGAGAAAAAGACACACACAGACUCAGACAGAGAGGGAGGGGGGACAUUGGGGAGGGAACAAGGGAGAGAGGAGAAAGUCUCCAAGAAAAGCAGAAGAGAAAAGCAGAAAGAACACCACCACCUCUGGAUCAGGACUUGGCUUGAGACCUUUGCCCAGUUCCACCCACCAGCAUGUCCAGCCCCAAGGGUCUCUCUUCCAUCCAGUUAAGCUCAGUUACUGCAUGUAUGUUGCAGGCCUCCACAACUGCCCAUCUUCCCCUGUCUGUGUCCAUCUCUGGUCCUCACUUAUCUGCCCUCCACCUGUUCUUCCUGUGAGAUACAGCCAGGUCCCCAAGUGGCUGGUCCUGGCACCCAUUGGUUUCUAGAUUUCUCCAGCUUUUUUCCCUCUCCCUCAU